GUUCUUAGGUCAAGUAACCUUUUAAUAAUAGUUUAUUUGUAAAGCGGGGAUAAUAAUAUACAAUUGUCAGUGUUGGGAGGUUUCAAUAUGGCUAUGCACAGUGUCUCUGCCACUUUCUCAGUUACCACUAUAACUUCCUUUACCCUCACUCUCUACCUUUUCUCAGCAGAGUUUUCCUUCUUUACUUUUUUGACUUCGAGAUAGAAGGCUAGGGAUCUUCUUUAUCUGGUUGAGAAAACCAAGGAUUAGCGAGGGAGAAGAAAAUGCCAAGCAGCAAUUUUCUGGUUUACCUUAAAACUGCUUACAUUGUUGAAUUAAAUGAGUCUCUGGUAGAUAUUUUAUCUGACUUCUGGGGCAUGAUGACAAGUGGCAGACUUCAGUAGUAAUUCAGAGACCAAGGAUUGUCUCGGGACACAAGUAGGGCAGGUGGAAACAAACAAACAAAAAAACAUACACACACAAAAGACAGGUAGCACAACUUAGACUAUAUCCAAGGGGUUAGAACACGUAGUAUACUGUCUGAAGUAGUUUGGAGGAAAGGUGGGAGGAAUGACCAAAGUGAAGAAUAUGGAGACCCUCUGAAGAAUAAUGGUUCAGUGCUGACUAGUGGUUGGUGAAGGAAGAAAAGAAUAAGCAAGGGAUUUGGUUAGAACUAAACAAAGUAUGGAUGGGGUUUGUCUCCGCAUAAUCCAUUUUGCCUUCUAUUCUCUCCCUCACUCCACAUCCCCACACUCUAUUAGCAACCAUCAUUUGAUUUGAAAAACAAUUUAUUUAUUUUUUUUUAAUUUUUUUUAUUUUUUUAGGUUUAUGGCAUAUAGUUUAGGUAAACACACAUACAAGGAGAAAGGAGAAGGGGAAAUGGAGGUGUCAGAAGCAAAGCUGAGUGACAGUGAAAAACAAUUUAAAUUGGUUUCAUAGAACCAAAGUCAGAAGAUUUUAAAAGCUGGAUCAAAUGGAAAUGAACUUCAUCUGGCUCUUAAUAAUAGUUAUAGAAAUGAAUUUCUUUUCUCUCUCCUUUUUUUGUUUUUGGUUCUCUUUUCAAGUUUCUGGGGAUUGAACUUAGGGCUCUAUGGUUGUUAGGCAAGUGCUCUAUGACAGCUACAUUGCCAGCCUUAAUGGAUUGUUUUUAAGUGUUCUGCAUAUGUGAAAAUGGGAGGCGUUGCUGAAAAUUUGUAGAGAUAAAUUUUUU
rnacentral:lncRNA from 1 species